rnacentral:rRNA from 1 species
UACGUAGGGUGCGAGCGUUGUCCGGAAUUACUGGGCGUAAAGAGCUCGUAGGUGGUUUGUCGCGUUGUCCGUGAAAACUCACAACUCAAUUGUGGGCGUGCGGGCGAUACGGGCAGACUGGAGUACUGCAGGGGAGACUGGAAUUCCUGGUGUAGCGGUGGAAUGCGCAGAUAUCAGGAGGAACACCGGUGGCGAAGGCGGGUCUCUGGGCCGUAAGCUGACGCUGAGGAGCGAAAGCAUGGGGAGCGAACAGG